UUAGUUAUUAUAUGAUAUUCAGACUGUAACUUUUAAGAAUUAAAUCAAGAUCCCCUGGCAAGCACUAACUAGCAGAAGCCAGCAGCCAUAAGACAGGCUUGCCAAAGCAACGAAGUAUUGUAAACAAAGGGUGGGAGGUCUACCCAAUGGGCAUAUUCUCUAUAAUGAUCCUUCCGCAGGUUCACCUACGGAAA
rnacentral:misc_RNA from 1 species